CACGUAGGGCGCAAGCGUUGUCCGGAAUUAUUGGGCGUAAAGAGCUCGUAGGCGGUCUGUUGCGUCCGCUGUGAAAACUCGGGGCUUAACCCCGAGCCUGCAGUGGAUACGGGCAGACUAGAGGUAGGUAGGGGAGAAUGGAAUUCCCGGUGUAGCGGUGAAAUGCGCAGAUAUCGGGAGGAACACCGGUGGCGAAGGCGGUUCUCUGGGCCUUACCUGACGCUGAGGAGCGAAAAGCGUGGGGGAGCGAACAGG
rnacentral:rRNA from 1 species